rnacentral:rRNA from 1 species
CCAGAGAACUUUCCAGAGAUGGAUUGGUGCCUUCGGGAACUCUGAGACAGGUGCUGCAUGGCUGUCGUCAGCUCGUGUUGUGAAAUGUUGGGUUAAGUCCCGCAACGAGCGCAACCCUUAUCCUUUGUUGCCAGCGGUUAGGCCGGGAACUCAAAGGAGACUGCCAGUGAUAAACUGGAGGAAGGUGGGGAUGACGUCAAGUCAUCAUGGCCCUUACGAGUAGGGCUACACACGUGCUACAAUGGCGCAUACAAAGAGAAGCGACCUCGCGAGAGCGAGCGGACCUCAUAAAGUGCGUCGUAGUCCGGACUGGAGUCUGCAACUCGACUCCAUGAAGUCGGAAUCGCUAGUAAUCGUGGAUCAGAAUGCCACGGUGAAUACGUUCCCGGGCCUUGUACACACCGCCCGUCACACCAUGGGAGUGGGUUGCAAAAGAAGUAGGUAGCUUAACCUUCGGGAGGGCGCUUACCACUUUGUGAUUCAUGACUGGGGUGAAGUCGUAACAAGGUAGGCGUAGUGCU